rnacentral:misc_RNA from 1 species
UUGAUUUGGUUUCCGUCAUUUUCUCAGAAGAGUAACCAGUAAAAAGAGUUGGUAUAAAACACCGGUAGGCCCUGUUUUCAACGAAACAGGGAAAGUACCUCCAAUGCCCCGGGAGGUGCCUACCGAAUCUUUAUGUUUUUAUAAAUCAUAUCCGCAAGGGGUUAUCGAGUAUUUUAACUCGUGUCGUUAAUGAUCCCUCCGCUGGUUCACCAACGGAGA